rnacentral:rRNA from 1 species
UACGUAGGCAGCAAGCGUUGUUCGGAGUUACUGGGCGUAAAGGGUGUGUAGGCGGUUCUUUAAGUUUGGUGUGAAAUCUCCCGGCUCAACCGGGGAACUGCUGGGCAUACUGGCGGGCUUGGGUCGCUCAGGGGCAGACGGAACAGGCGGUGGAGCGGUGAAAUGCGUAGAUAUCGCCUGGAACGCCGAAGGUGAAAACAGUCUGCUGGGGGCGCACCGACGCUGAGACACGAAAGCCAGGGGAGCGAACGGG